UAACGGCGAGUGAAGCGGCAACAGCUCAAAUUUGAAAUCUGGUCCUUUCAGGCCCCGAGUUGUAAUUUGUAGAGGAUGUUUCGGGCGCGGCGCGGGUCUAAGUCCUUUGGAACAGGGCGUCAUAGAGGGUGAGAAUCCCGUAUGUGACCUGUGAUCAAGCCCAUGUGAAACCCCUUCGACGAGUCGAGUUGUUUGGGAAUGCAGCUCARAAUGGGUGGUAAAUUUCAUCUAAAGCUAAAUACCGGCCAGAGACCGAUAGCGCACAAGUAGAGUGAUCGAAAGAUGAAAAGCACUUUGGAAAGAGAGUCAAAAAGUACGUGAAAUUGUUGAAAGGGAAGCGCUUGCAACCAGACCUGCCCGCGGGCGAUCAACUCCCGUUCUCGGGGGUGCACUCGUCCGUGAUCAGGCCAGCAUCGGUUCGGGCGGUCGGAUAAAGGCCUUGGGAAUGUAGCUCCUUCCGGGGAGUGUUAUAGCCCUUGGUGCAGUGCGACCAGCCCAGACCGAGGACCGCGCCUUCGGGCUAGGAUGCUGGCGUAAUGGUUGUAAGCGACCCGUCUUGAAACACGGACCAAGGAGUCUAACAUCUAUGCAAGUGUUUGGGUGUCAAACCCAUGCGCGUAAUGAAAGUGAACGGAGGUGAGAACCCUUAAGGGCGCAUCAUCGACCGAUCCAGAUGUCUUCGGAUGGAUUUGAGUACGAGCAUAGCUGUUGGGACCCGAAAGAUGGUGAACUAUGCCUGAAUAGGGUGAAGCCAGAGGAAACUCUGGUGGAGGCUCGCAGCGGUUCUGACGUGCAAAUCGAUCGUCAAAUUUGGGUAUAGGGGCGAAAGACUAAUCGAACCAUCUAGUA
rnacentral:rRNA from 1 species